UUAGGAAUCUUGGACAAUGGGCGAAAGCCUGAUCCAGCCAUGCCGCGUGAGUGAUGAAGGCCUUCGGGUUGUAAAGCUCUUUAGCCGAUGAAUAUAAUGACUGUAGUCGGAGAAUAAGCCCCGGCUAACUUCGUGCCAGCAGCCGCGGUAAUACGAAGGGGGCGAGCGUUGUUCGGAAUCACUGGGCGUAAAGCGUGCGUAGGCGGUUAUAAAAGUUAGAAGUGAAAGCCCAGGGCUCAACCUUGGAAUUGCUUUUAAAACUAGAUAACUCGAAUCUCGGAGAGGAUAGCGGAAUUGUCAGUGUAGCAGUGAAAUGCGUAGAUAUUGACAGGAACACCAGUGGCGUAAGCGGCUAUCUGGACGAGUAUUGACGCUGAGGCACGAAAGCGUGGGGAUCAAACAGGAUUAGAUACCCCCGUAGUCC
rnacentral:rRNA from 1 species